rnacentral:rRNA from 1 species
UACGAAGGGGGCUAGCGUUGCUCGGAAUUACUGGGCGUAAAAGCGCACGUAGGCGGAUUGUUAAGUCGGGGGUGAAAUCCUGGAGCUCAACUCCAGAACUGCCUUCGAAACUGGCGAUCUUGAGUCCGGGAGAGGUGAGUGGAACUGCGAGUGUAGAGGUGAAAUUCGUAGAUAUUCGCAAGAACACCAGUGGCGAAGGCGACUCACUGGACAUGUAAUUGACGCUGAGGUGCGAAAGCGUGGGGAGCAAACAGGG